rnacentral:rRNA from 1 species
GACAGAGGAUGCAAGCGUUAUUCGGAUUGACUGGGCGUAAAGCGUCCGUAGGUUGUGCUCUAAGUCUUUUGUUAAAUGUCGAAGCUCAACUUCGGCCCAGCAAAUGAAACUCGAGCGCUGGAGAACGAUAGAGGCAGUGGGAAUUCUCGGUGUAGCGGUGAAAUGCGUAGAGAUCGGGAGGAACACCAGAGGCGAAAGCGCGCUGCUGGGUCGGUUCUGACACUAAAGGACGAAAGCUAGGGUAGCGAACGGG